rnacentral:rRNA from 1 species
AGCGUAGACGGCGAAGCAAGUCUGAAGUGAAAGCCCGGGGCUCAACCGCGGGACUGCUUUGGAAACUGUUUUGCUAGAGUGCUGGAGAGGUAAGUGGAAUUCCUAGUGUAGCGGUGAAAUGCGUAGAUAUUAGGAGGAACACCAGUGGCGAAGGCGGCUUACUGGACAGUAACUGACGUUGAGGCUCGAAAGCGUGGGGAGCAAACA